UACACUUAAAUAUUAGUGAGGAGACAUGAAAUAAUAAAAUACAAUAGAGGAAAAUAAAAGAAAAAUAAAGGAAAAAUAAAAUAGAGAAAAUGUAACUAAGUUCAACGAGCCAAAAACCGUAGUGAUGGGUGACCGCACUGGAAAGUGGCGGCAUGGAUCGUUGACUAGCCCUGAACCGCGGGGAACCCUGGAAAAUAUUUU
rnacentral:misc_RNA from 1 species